CCCAGUCAACAAAGCAAAAAAUUCAAUGUGGAGGGAAGAGGAAGAGGCGCCAAACUGCAAACCUCUAUAGAAGUAUGUAAAAUUGUCGAGACGAGCACUAUCACACUCUCUCUCGUCGGCAAUCUGCUUCUUCUAAGGUAUACAAUCAACGAUUCUGAUGCAGGGCGAUCCGAUUUUGAUGAUGCCGAGCUCGUUAAUAGCACUGGACUACUUCGAAAAAUCAGAUCAGCACAAAUAAAAAGAUGAAGAUUCUCGAUUCAGAUUGGGUCGGUGCGUCUAGGACAGCCACUUGGAGGAGGGAGUCAGGCUGUGAGGGGUGGGGGAAGGUGAAAGCGAGGAAGCGAGAUGGAAUUAAGGUUUCGAAGUUGGCUGGAUCGAGAGCCAUGGAGUUAAGUUGCUCAGCCGUCAAUAAUUCUUAUUCUGUCCCGGCGUCAGAUUUUUUGUACUUUUUGCAGCUCCGAGAUCAGGCUUCGCUUCGUCUGCAAUCCAAAUGUAAGCAAACAGAUAAAGUAAGGUGGAUAAUUGAAGUUAAUAUUCCAUACCUCUCCAAAAGCAGAAUUGAAUUCCCUCUGUUGAUAGGCCUGAUAGACAGGUUUUUUCUCCGUUAGCUUCCUUUUUAAUUAAAUUGGGACAGCUAUGCAGUAAAUGCUUGUUUACAAUUCUCUCACCUUUGAAUAUUGUCGAUACAGAGGUUCCAAAGUAUACAGUCCGUCUUCGUAGAUUCCAUAUCCAUGAUCUUGGUACAUCAAUUGGGUUCAGGCUAGAUUCAUGAUCCGCAAAUACCUGCAAAAUGGUAUUAUUCAUUUGACAAUAAUGGAAUCAGUGGCUCUAAGUAUUCGCUGACAUGAAUUGGAAUGCCAUCCUGGUAGUUCUUGUAUCCACUUUGGACUCCCAAAUUAAGAGAAUAAGCAUAUAGCUAUGAUAAACUUACCUCGUUAACUUGAAAGUAUGUACCAUUAAGAGGAAAGCUCCCUCUCAUUGCUGUUCUACAGGGUAUCUGCAUUUUGUGAGGUAAAUGUUAGCAACUAAAGGAGUGUUUUCUAUGUAUCAUUGAAUAAUUCACUCACCAGUAGUGUCCCUCUGACUGUUUGUGCAUUGGCUUCUCGGACACUAUUACACGAGUAGCAUGUCUUCUCAUUGCACAGUUUGUUAGCUUCUUGUGAUCCGCAGCUCGUCUCUGGUGGUUGGAUUGAAUUUGCAGUUUCACCUAGAACAAGUUUUGUAAAUAUGAUUGUAAUCAGAUGUCAAACUUGUAAAACUAUUUCUCCUAAUCUGUCGUGGGAAUAUUGAAUACCCUGGACCACCCUGCACUUUGUCUCAAAUACUGGCUAUGUUGAUGUGUUGAUACUUAUGUGCAUAUAAAUUGCACCGAGUGAUCACGAGAAUAUAUCUUGAUUUUUCUAUGUACAAGUAUAGCAGCUCAAGCUAUCUUAUUUUAUUUCUUACCUGGUGUCCAUAUGGCAAGAAGGUAUGGGCUUGGAUCAUCUGUUUCUCGGCUGUCCAUCUGUAAUUUUUUUUAUCCGUAAAAAAAAAUAAUAAGGUAAUGAUUAAUUACAGUUUCCUAGUUAAAGGCCACUUUAUAAUUCAGAGUGUCAAAAUUUACUAACCCUUUCCAAGAGCGGAUGUGAAUCAGGAAGUUCAUACCUGCAUCAUUUCAGGAUGGAAGCUGUCAGAGCGCAUCAAGCAGAGUUGUAUUUUUUUGUUACUUUUUCUUUAUUUGAAAUAUCAAGUCUAUCCCGUAGGGCUAGAGUUUUUUAAUAUUUGAUCCGAAGCUACAAUUUUCUGCAAGUAAUAUUGAAUGAUUAGGAUAUUAGAAGGUUCAAUGAGUUUCGUUCCAGGAUGGAAGAUAAUUUAUGCUAUAUUGGACUAUUAUUUGGUCUAGUCAGAAAGUAUUUCUGCUCAUGAGGAUCAAUAUAAACCAUACCCACUCUAGCGCAGCCCAGUUUAGCUGCAGCGGUACUUUGCAAAUACUUUGAUUAUAGAUUUUGAGGAGAUGUCUACUUACACUUGGUGCUCUGUUCGUAGCCGACUAACAUUCUUCAGUUUGGGUGUAGGGAUAGAAGUAGCUUCUGGUUUUAAGGCAACCAAAGCCUUGGACAUGUCAGCUUCUUGGAGUUCCAUCUUCUCUUGCAUGUAAUUCUGAAGAUUCAUGGUAAACUCUUCAAUGUUGAGUUUGAUGAUAGGAAUCUCAUCAGGAUCCUCAUAUAAAGAGUCCUCAAUGUCACUUUCCGAGAUCUCUGUACAUUCAUGUUCUGGGGUUGCUGGUUCUUCAAUGAUUGGUUCACAGUUGCGACUUAUAUAAGCUGCUUCUUUAAGUGAGUUGUUCUCAGGUGGCGGUAGUGGCAUUGGGUUGAUAACUACGGCUGGGUUUAGUUCAUGUGCAAUGGGAACAGUAGAGCUCACAAUGCUCUUAUCUUCUGGACCUGGCAACGCAAGCCUCGCACUGCAGCAAAUACGGUUUUAGAGGUAGACAUAGCAACAGGACAGAUCAGAAUGCAAACCUUGCAAAAGCACUUGCAAAGUGUCUGCACUCUCCUCUCAUUGGACAUGCAUUGCAGUUUGGUUUACUUUUUGUGCAGAAAACCUGCAUAGAUAUUGAAGCAUGUGGAAAAUUUCUCUCUUAAUAUGCUAAAGAGCUAUAUUCUGCUGAAUAAAGCAGCAUAUGUAAAUCUCUGUUGCUACGAACCUUGCCAAAUGUGAUCAAUUGGUAGUGCAGCUCGUACCUGUGGUAGCAAUACUCUAUUGUCAGUAAUAGCUUUACUUAGGAAUUCGUUUAUCCUAAUUUUUUGUAUGAAAAAAUAAUGUUCAAUAAAUAUUUAAUGAGAAAGUGCUCUGGGGUUACAGUGUUCGUUGAUCGAGUUUGCAUAAUCUUGGCCAAAGAUAUUUUUGUAUUGAUUCCAGCACUGGGUAUCUGUAUAGGAUUUUGAUUAGCAUUGUUUAUCAUUGAAAAGAUUAGUAUUCAUUAGUUGGAGUAUGUACUUACAAUUCUAGGAGGUGUAGCUGAAGUGACUCAGGCAAGGGUUGGAGAGGGACCCAUCCAAGUCGAACUGCUAUCCUUCCAACAUUUGUGUCAACCUUUGCAAAAAAGAAAAACGGUAAUAUAUUUGAUUAUCUGGUUUUCUUUGCCCCUAAUAAUCUGUCAAGGAAGUAGUUUCUUACUGGAAAAGCUAGAUGAUGGAGUGUUAGCAGCCGCACACACUCCACACUUUUCAACCCAAGUCCACGAACGCUCAACAGAUAAUCCCUGCAGCAAAAUGACAUUUUUCAAGGAUAUAGAUGCAGUUCGGCAUUUUGACAUUAAUCUGGGCCAUUUUCAUUUACAGUAUAGAUGCAGUACAUUAUUAUGACUUAGUGGCAGUCGUUUGACAAUUUCAGUAACAUGUUUGUGGAAUUGCUUACUUUGCUUUAUCAGGGGGAACAUUUCUUAACCAUUCCAGAUCGAUGCUUCCAUGAUCUCUAACCAGACGGUUCAGAAAUUCCUGUAACAUUAUGAAACCAUGGCCACUUUUCUAUGUUAUUUUUAUAUAAAAAGAAUUUGGUUAAGAAUACUUUUUGUGUUGAAUGACGAUUCAUUUGUGGAGCCAUUUGAAGGUAGUAGUUGCAAAUUUGAAGGUAGUAGUUGCAAAUGUGAAGGCUUUUGUAGUCUAGUAAAUAUACCUUGAUUCGUUCUGCUAGCAUGUUAUUCAUCCCCCGUUCUCUUAUGGCAUUAGAAAUCUCAUCAACAUGUGCAAGUCUUACUGCUUCAUAGUCAAGCGAGUCCUGUGCAUCUUUGCUUCUUUCUCCAUUCAAACCACUGGCCUGCACUUGCUUUCUUAAAGUAUCCCAGUCAACUGCAUUAUUCUUAUCUCUCUCUGUCUUUCCUUUUUUCAGUUUUGAGAUUUUUGAAGUUGUCUUGCUAUUUGCCUGAUCAGAGGGAUCGACUAGCUUAUUUGAGUUUGGAUUGAGAAAUCUAUUUUCCAAGAGUAUUUGCGCAUUUUCUGCUGAGAGUCUCUCUCCAAAAUUUUCUGCAAGUUUAGGUGCACUUGAUGUUUGCUGCAUAGCAUCAUUCUCUCUGUUAGCCAGUGCUUCAGCAGGUUCUGCAAUAUAUGGGCUUUGCAAUUGGAGGCAUUUGGUCACAUCCUGUUGAUGAUGGCGGUAGGAUGGUUGAUUAUACACAAUGUGUGGUCCUGGUUGAGAAAUGAUUUCCUGGUGUAGUGAGUGGUUGCUUGAUGGUACAUGUGGCCCCAUUCUUGGUGUUUCUUGAGGGUGCAGUAGUCCAUUUUGCUGUACUGUGCUUUUACCUUCACUUCCUUCCCAUCUUUUGGUCCUGAAGCCCUUGCUAUUUGCAUCUUUUGUCUUGGUGAAUCCAAAAUCAAUUGAAGACAAAGGGGAUAUGCUUUCGUCACUUAACACUUCAAAAUUCUCUACUUCGGGUACUGUAGAGUCUGGGGUCACAUGCAGAUGGUAGUUACUUGAAGGAACCACUCGUACUUGGCUUUGUGGAUUGUCAGGAUUGAUUGGAUAACUAAAUGCAGGACCAUUGACACCAUCUGAUCUAUCUAAUCUUGACUUUUUGUGGGCAUGAGCAAUAUAUUCAGAUUGCUUGUGCACAUGCCUGGAUCCCUCAUCCAUAAUUGAACUAUUUUGGCUGUAAAAUUCCUGGAAUGUGGUUUUCUCCAUCUGUAGAAGAUUUGUUAAAGUUGUAAAGUGAGCCUCAAUAGGUCUGCAGCUGGUUAUAAGAUCUUCCUCUUCUGAAUUGGAGCCUGAGCUCGAUCUCGGUCUUCCAGUCCCUUGAAUGAUUAAAGAAUCAAAAGAUUCUUGUGAUGAUAUGACUUCUUCCUCUAUACUCAGGCCGUGUCCCUGCACCAUGAUCCUUUCUGUUCCUGUAGUUUCACUUCCCCUCUGAUGCUCUGCUGAUCCAAGGGGUGCAAUGGAGCUAAUAUUGAAGAUGGGCUGGCUUGAACCCUUUUCAUGCCAUCCGAUGGUGUCAUUCUGAUUUACUAUGCUGACUUCUGACUCUUUGAACAGUAUGCUCGUCCCUGUGUUGUCACGUGCAUUGCAGUUGCUUGUUGACUUGAGAGGAAAUCGUGCUGCCAAAGACAUGAAGGCAGAGCUGCAAAGAAAUAAAAAAUGACAAAUAUUAUUCUUUGAACUUCAAGUUUUUACUCAUGUUCAAUGUGGGCAUAGAAUUCUGUGAAAAAUGAUGAAUUACCUUGAAAGAUGAUCUGAGACAUUUUGGGUAAGGAAGACUCCUAUCACCGAGUCAACAACAGAUCCUUUCCACCUUGAGAAGCGUCUAUCACCUGUGAAGAGUGUAAUUUGUACGUAUAGUUAAUAUGGAACAAGUUGAUUUAACUUUGUAUGCAACUAGUUGAUUUUCCAUGCAAUGUACACUUUUCUUCACUGA